rnacentral:misc_RNA from 1 species
UUGAACGCCUUUUUUUAACCUAAAAGGGGGGCGGGAGGGAGAUUUGAUUAUGCACCCAAUUAUCCACAUCAGUUUCAAUACUAUUCCCAUGCUCUUCAUGAGUUUGAUUUUCAAUUUACUUGUUGCUUAAGCGCUCUAGAGAAUUUUAUGAAAAUGAGAGAGUUAAGGACAACAUUGCAGCUUGGGAUCACCUAUGACAUUGAUAUUGGUAAAUUGCUGACAAAUUGGGAAGUAUAGUCGUUGCAAUAUCUUCCCAACCCAGUCAAAGGAAAUUAUAAUAUAGUGAGCAGA